AGCUCCACCGAGACAUCAAUUGACUUCAGUGAUGGACCAAUGAUCUCUGACCCUCCUAUCAAUAAGAUUGUCAGACAGAGCUCCACCGAGAAGCCCAUUAACUUCAGUCGUGGACCAAUGGACUCUGACCCUCCCGGCUGCAAGCAUAAUUGAAAUCCAUCAAUUCACCCAUUAACUUCUAGUAAGGAGAAGAUACACAAGACAAUGAGAUCUGUGGCAUCCUCUACAUCCAGACUCACAUCAGAUCAUUCUGGACCGGGCCGACGGAAAACACAAUCCAGAUGUAGAUUUUACUGAUUAUCAAAGAUAUUAGCAACUUUUAUUCUCUACUUCACUUCACUUUCGAAUCUGUCUUCUUUACUCCACUACAUUUGAAAUUGGUGAGUGUUGCAGUUACACAUGACAUUAUCUGAAACUUGAUAGCCCCAUGUGUGUGUGUAUAUAUAUAUAUAUAUAUAUAUAUAUAUAUAUAUAUAUAUAUAUAUAUAUAUAUAUAUAUAUAUAUAUAUAUUGUUUGCUUCUGUUCUGCGUUUCCGUUUCUCUUUUAAUUUUAUUUUUCAUUGUUCAGCAUUUUGGAUAGUUUUGCUAUGUUUAAUGGUGAAGUGAAUCUUUCUGAACCAGCGAAGCUUUCAACACAGUUAAAUCAGGAAAAGAUUCAUUACUCUAAGCUUUUCAACAUGGUUUAUGUUGUGUCCAUCUAGUGGUCAUUAAAAUGAAGGGGGCACCUUCCAAAGUACUGUGUGUUCAAUUACAGCCGCUGGUUUCACAUAUGGAUCUACAAAUCCAUCUACAAAUAAGUCAAAUAAAUUAAACAAAUCCAUAAAUGAAAAACGUGAUUUGCCUGUUUUAACCCUGCCUCAAACCUUACACUAUUAUUUCAUAGGCAAAGUUCAUUUGAGCUUAACGUAUAAAUAACAAUAUUAAAAUAGAACAAUGCUAAAGCAUUAUAAUGUGAUAUAGCCAAAUGCAAAAGAAACAGCACUGAGGCUCACUUCAUUUAACAGACUCUGAAGCAGUCCCGUAUUUUUCAGGUGAACAAAGCUUCAGACGUCAGAGAUCACAUGCUUUUGGCAAAACGAAUCAAGCUUGGAUACAGUUCUUUAAUGUGAAAUGUGUUGGGUUUUUUAGUGCAAGCUUCGGAGCUUCCAUAUUGAAUGUAAAAUAACUAGUGUUUCUAUUUCCCCCUCUGUGCUUGACUGUGAGGAGGGGGUUCUUAAAGGGAUAGUUCACCCAAAAAUUUAAAU